rnacentral:rRNA from 1 species
GGGAUUAGAUACCCCACUAUGCACAGCCCUAAAAUUUGAUAGAACUAUACAUCACCUAUCCGCCAGGAUACUACGAGCUUCAGCUUAAAAUCCAAAGGACCUGGCGGUGCUUUAGACCCACCUAGAGGAGCCUGUUCUAGAACCGAUAAUCCUCGUUAAACCUCACCCUCCCUUGUUUUUUUACCGCCUAUAUACCGCCGUCAUCAGCCUACCCUGUGAAGGACCCAUAGUGGGCAAGAAUAGUACAGCUAAGAAUGUCAGGUCGAGGUGUAGUGCAUGAGAGGGGAAGAAAUGGGCUACAUUCCCUAAUCAGGGUAUACGAAAAAUGUAAUGAAAAAUACAUUAGAAGGUGGAUUUAGAAGUAAGUAGAAAAUAGAGUGUUCUACUGAACCUGGCUCUGGAGCAUGUACACACCGCCCGUCACCCUAA